rnacentral:rRNA from 1 species
AACGAACGCUGGCGGCAUACCUAACACAUGCAAGUCGAACGAAGGCUUCGGCCUUAGUGGCGCACGGGUGCGUAACGCGUGGGAAUCUGCCCUUUGCUUCGGAAUAACAGUUAGAAAUGACUGCUAAUACCGGAUGAUGUCGCAAGACCAAAGAUUUAUCGGCAAAGGAUGAGCCCGCGUAGGAUUAGCUAGUUGGUGGGGUAAAGGCCUACCAAGGCGACGAUCCUUAGCUGGUCUGAGAGGAUGAUCAGCCACACUGGGACUGAGACACGGCCCAGACUCCUACGGGAGGCAGCAGUGGGGAAUAUUGGACAAUGGGCGAAAGCCUGAUCCAGCAAUGCCGCGUGAGUGAUGAAGGCCUUAGGGUUGUAAAGCUCUUUUACCCGGGAUGAUAAUGACAGUACCGGGAGAAUAAGCGCCGGCUAACUCCGUG